rnacentral:rRNA from 1 species
CCUACGGGAGGCAGCAGUGGGGAAUAUUGCACAAUGGGGGAAACCCUGAUGCAGCGACGCCGCGUGAGCGAUGAAGUAUUGCGGUAUGUAAAGCUCUAUCAGCAGGGAAGAAAAUGACGGUACCUGACUAAGAAGCCCCGGCUAACUACGUGACAGCAGCCGCGGUAAUACGUAGGGGGCAAGCGUUAUCCGGAUUUACUGGGUGUAAAGGGAGCGUAGACGGCGGUGCAAGCCAGCUGUGAAAGCCCGGGGUUCAACACCGGGACUGGAUUUGGAACUGUGCUGCUAGAGUGUCGGAGAGGCAGGCGGAAUUCCUAGGGUAGCGGGGAAAUGCGUAGAUAUGAGGAGGAACACCAGUGGCGAAGGCGGCCUGCUGGACGAUGACUGACGUUGAGGCUCGAAUGCGUGGGGAGCAAACAGGAUUAGAUACACUGGUAGUC